UGGCAUUAGAGUUUGAUCCUGGCUCAGAACGAACGCUGGCGGCGUGCCUAACACAUGCAAGUCGAACGAGAAAGGGGCUUCGGCUCCGAGUAAAGUGGCGCACGGGUGAGUAACACGUGGGUAACCUGCCUCUAAGAUUGGGAUAACUCGUCGAAAGAUGAGCUAAUACCGAAUAAGACCACAGUUCCUGCGGGGACAGGGGUCAAAGGUAGCCUCUGCUUGCAAGCUAUCACUUAGAGAUGGGCCUGCGCACCAUUAGCUAGUUGGUAGGGUAACGGCCUACCAAGGCAAAGAUGGUUAGCUGGUCUGAGAGGAUGAUCAGCCACACUGGAACUGAGACACGGUCCAGACUCCUACGGGAGGCAGCAGUGGGGAAUAUUGCGCAAUGGGCGAAAGCUUGACGCAGCAACGCCGCGUGAGUGAUGAAGGC
rnacentral:rRNA from 1 species